GCAAGUCGAGCGAUCCCUUCGGGGAUAGCGGCGGACGGGUGAGUAACGCGUAGGAAUCUACCUGGUAGUGGGGGACAACAUGUGGAAACGCAUGCUAAUACCGCAUACGACCUAAGGGUGAAAGUGGGGGACCUUCGGGCCUCACGCUACCAGAUGAGCCUGCGUAAGAUUAGCUAGUUGGUGGGGUAAAGGCUCACCAAGGCGACGAUCUUUAGCUGGUCUGAGAGGAUGAUC
rnacentral:rRNA from 1 species